rnacentral:tRNA from 1 species
GGGGAUAUAGCUCAGAGGCAGAGCAGUGUCUUUGCACGGCAAAUGUCAGUGGUUCGAAUCCACUUAUCUCCA